rnacentral:ribozyme from 1 species
GGAGGGGGACUUCCGGCAGGGGUUUGGGGUCGUACGGGUGAACUCCUGCAUGA